rnacentral:rRNA from 1 species
AAGUUUAACGGCCGCGGUAUUUUGACCGUGCGAAGGUAGCGUAAUCACUUGUCUUUUAAAUGAAGACCUGUAUGAAUGGCAUAACGAGGGCUAAGCUGUCUCCUUUCCCCGGUCAAUGAAAUUGAUCUUCCCGUGCAGAAGCGGGAAUAAACACAUAAGACGAGAAGACCCUAUGGAGCUUCAAACACAAGGUAGCCCAUGUAAAUUUACUGGUUUAACAGAACUAACUAAGUGGCCCCUACCCCCUUGUUUUUGGUUGGGGCGACCACGGGGAAACAAGCAUCCCCCGUGUGGAAUGGGAACCUUUUCCCUGAAGCUAGAGCUGCAGCUCUCACCAGCAGAAUGUCUGGCCUUUAAGAUCCGGCAAGCCCGAUCAACGGACCGAGUUACCCUAGGGAUAACAGCGCAAUCCCCUUUUAGAGCCCAUAUCGACAAGGGGGUUUACGACCUCGAUGUUGGAUCAGGACAUCCUAAUGGUGCAGCCGCUAUUAAGGGUUCGUUUGUUCAACGAUUAAAGUCCUACGUGAUC